ACACGACUCUCGGCAACGGAUAUCUCGGCUCUCGCAUCGAUGAAGAACGUAGCGAAAUGCGAUACCUGGUGUGAAUUGCAGAAUCCCGCGAACCAUCGAGUCUUUGAACGCAAGUUGCGCCCGAGGCCUUCUGGCCGAGGGCACGCCUGCCUGGGCGUCACGC
rnacentral:rRNA from 8 species